rnacentral:rRNA from 1 species
AAACUCAAAGGAAUUGACGGGGGCCCGCACAAGCGGCGGAGCAUGUGGAUUAAUUCGAUGCAACGCGAAGAACCUUACCUGGGUCUGACAUGCACUGGACCGGCGUAGAGAUACGCCUUCCCUUGUGGCUGGUGCACAGGUGGUGCAUGGCUGUCGUCAGCUCGUGUCGUGAGAUGUUGGGUUAAGUCCCGCAACGAGCGCAACCCUUGUUCCAUGUUGUCAGCACGUGAUGGUGGGGACUCAUGGGAGACUGCCGGGGUCAACUCGGAGGAAG